rnacentral:lncRNA from 1 species
AAUUUAAAUUUCAACCUGAAGUCAAUAAGGACACCUCAGAAGUUUUCAAAGGAAGGAUGGAGUCUGUUGAAAAGAACCGGUUGGUAAAAUGAGAAAAAAUGGAUUGAAGGAGACCCAAGUGACCACCUGGUAAUUACUUCAACAGCAGAGCGACUCAUACAGCCGGCAGUCCACUUUGUUCUUCUAUAGAUCCUGCCUGUGGUGUUGGAUCUAACAGCUUCUUCCCUGACCCAAGAUUAUGAAGGAUUUCUCCUGUGUUCUCUUCUAAAAAUUUUACAUUUAGGUACAUAAUCCAUUUUGAGCUAAUUCUUUUAAAUAGUGCAAAGUAUGGAUUGAAGUUCUUUUUUUUUUUUUUUUUUGCAGAUACAUAUUUAAUUUUUCCAGCACCAUUUGUUGAAAAGAC